GUCUUUUAGAGUUUUAUUAAAAGUCUAGUCUGCCCAAUGAUGUUUUAAUGGCCGCAGUAAACUGACUGUGCGAAGGUAGCAUAAUAACUAGUCUUUUAAUUGAAGGCUUGAAUGAACGGCUGGAUGAAAAAUAAGCUUUAUUAAAAUAAUCAUUAAAAUUUAUUUUUUAAGUAAAAACGCUUAAAUAAUUAAGUGGGACGAGAAGACCCUAUAGAGUUUAAAAUUUGUCCUUAUAUAAUUUAUGUUUCAAUUAUUGGAAUUUUAUAUGAAUAAAUUAUUUGUUGGGGUGACAUUAAAAUUUAUUAAACUUUUAAUAUAGAUAUCAUUAAUAUAUGAAAAAUUGAUCCAAUUAUGUUGAAUGAAAGAUUAAAUUACCUUAGGGAUAACAGCGUGAUUAGUUUGGAGAGUUCUUAUUGAUAAAAUGGAUUGCGACCUCGAUGUUGGAUUAAGAAUUGAAUUUGAAGCAGUAUUUAAAUA
rnacentral:rRNA from 1 species